AUUAUGGUACAUCUGAAUGGGUGUCUAGGUAUAUAACACAUGCAAGUUGAUAAUUAAUUAGUUAAUUAUAGCGUACGGGUCAGUAAUAGUUGAGAAUUUACCUGAAAGAUCAUAGAAAUAAUGAAUAUAAAAAGGAAAUAAUUUUGCUUUUAGAUUAGCUCAAUUCCUAUUAGGUAGUUGGUGAGGUAAUGCUCAACAAGCCAAUAAUGGGUAAUAUAGGAUGACAGUCUUUAAUAUGACAUUGGAAAUGAAAAAGUCCAGAGUAUCGAAAGAUGCGCAGCAGUGAAGAAUCUUGGUCAAUGCACUAAAGUGUGAACCAGUAACCUAGAUACAAUUACUUCUUAGAAGUAGUUGUUAAUAAAUUUUAAAUGAUGAUUAAAAUUUAAAUUAGUCCUGUCCAAUAUCUGUGCCAGCAGAAGCGGUUAUACAGAAGGGGCGACCCAUCGGAACAUUAAUUAGGUGUAAAGGGUACGUAGCCAGUCUUUAUUUUUAAGACUUGAAUUUAAUAGAAGUAACAAUAAUAUUCGGAGUAGAUUUAAUAUUCGCAAAUACUGAAGGGAAUGCUAAGGGCGAAGGCAAGUUACUAGGUAAAAAUUGACGGUAAGGUACGAAAGUUAGGGCAUAGACAGAGAUUAGAGACCUCAUUAUUCCUAACCGUAAACGAUGCAAACAAAGUGUUAGCUAUUGCUAGUGCUGAUAUUAACGAUUUAAGUUUGCCACCUGUAGAGUACGGUCGCAUGACUGAAAUACAAAUAAUUAGACGGCUUUAAAGCAAACGAAGUGGAGCAUGUUGUUUAAUUCGAUGAUCCGCGAAAAAUCUUACCACAUCUUGCAUAAUUUAAUACUUUAAAAAGUAUAUUUUACAGGUGUUGCAUGGUUGUCUUCAGUUAGUGCCAGUGAGGUGUACGGUUAAUUCCAAGAAACUAACGCGAACCCCUACUUAAAUUUAAACUUUAUUGUGUGCUCUUAUAAGGAGUACCUUGAUAGGGGGGCUAAGACAAAUCCUCAUGAUCCUUAUGGUGUGGGCUAUAGACGUGCUACAAGAGUAAUAAACAAAGUGAUGCAAUAUCGAAAGAAGGAGCUAAACAUUAAAAAUUACUAAAGUACAGAUUAAGAGCUGGAACUCGCUCUUAUGAAGCAGGAAUUUCGAGUAAUCGUGAAUUAGUAUGUCACGGUGAACUAUCUUCUUUAAAGUGUACUAACCGCUCAUCACGGGCUGAGAGGGGAUAUGUGAGGAAGUGGCCGGAAAUAUUAAUAUGAAAAUUUAAGUCAUUAUUAAUGACACCUUAAUAGGUAACAAUAU
rnacentral:rRNA from 1 species